CUCCGCGUAGCUCAGUUGGUUAGAGCGUCGCACUAGAAAAGCGAACGUCACGGGUUCAAAUCACGUCGUGGAGC